rnacentral:lncRNA from 1 species
AAGGGUUUCUUUUUCUUUUUUUUUUGUUCACUUCUUCGGUUCUGUUUAUUGUUUAUAUAUAAUAUAUAAUAAUAGGUUUUUCAAUACAUGUUUUGCUGAUACAAUAUUAUAUUUAUAUUACACGCAUAUUAAGCAUAUAUAAAUGAAAAUUAUAGGCUUAGCUUAAUAAUUAAGCUUUGCCUAUAAUAAAAUGAAUAGACCACAUCAAAAAUUAAAUAGAUAUGUAAAAAGCUUUAUAUAUAUAUAUAGUUUUAUAUGUACAAAAUUCGUAUCACAUAUAUACAUAGAGUUUUUUCUCCCAAUGUCUACAAACGAUACAAAUGAUCAUCGUUGUUUGGAAUAAGAGUUUCGUUGCCGUUGAAGUGAAACUCGCCGUUUGGAUUGAUCACUUGGUCGCGGAGAAAUCCUGCUAUCGUCUCUUGGAUAGCUUUGAUUCGGUCUUGUUGUAGGACCUUUUCCCUCAGCCAUUCCGUCUUUAAUUUGAAAUAAAUAAAAAAGGUAUUAGUUAUCUAAGUUAUUCAAUAUAAUUCAGGAGAUAAUGAAAAGAGACAUGUAACGUACUCUUAGCGUAUCUGUGGGUGUUUGAUUGACUUGUGUCAUCAUGAAUUUGCACACGUAAUAUGCACAUAGAUUGUUCCCCCCUUCUUGUCUUAAACACCAUUGUACGAUAUAUAUAUAAAAAUAUUCACGACCACGACAAUAAGAAGGCUAAAAGUUAGCGAAAUUUUGUUAGCUAGUAGAACUUACUUGUGGAUGUAUUAUGUUAAGCGGCGCUUUACAUCCACUGAGAUGUUCACGGUCAAUGAAUCUUUCCCAAAUCCUAUACACAGCCAUUGUAUAUUGUGAACUAAUAAUUACAGAGUCAUAUUAUGAUAUUUUUGUAGCUGAGAUCGACAUUACGUACCUUUGAAUAAUGUUUACCAUUUGUUGAUAAUUUUCUUGUGGUUUUCUCAUUGAGUCAAAGAUUAUCAACCGGUUCUUGGGAAUUUCAAUGACCAUGAGUAUCCAGUGAAAGCUAUUUACACACACAUAUAUAUAGUCAGUCCUAUAAUAUAAAAUAAAAUAUGCAUGCACUUAAUAACUAUAUAACUCACUCGAAGUUGAAGGGGAAGAGUAUUUUUUGUUUUUCUUUUUGGUUCACAAAGAACCUCAUAAGAUUGGUGCAGACUUCUGUCUCAUGAUCUGCUGUCCACACUGCCUGCGGAGCCUUGAAAACAAUAUAAGGGUCAACGAACCCAAUACUAUUGUCAUUUCUCAUUCUGAGCUCUCUCAUUUGGUG